AGAGAGAGACAUGCGCGCAUAUCAAUAAGCGGAGGAAAAGAAACUAACAAGGAUUCCCUUAGUAACGGCGAGUGAAGCGGGAAGAGCUCAAAUUUGAAAUCUUCAAGGUUUUACCUUGACGAAUUGUAGUUUAAAGAAGUGUUUUCUGUUGAGGUUUUGGUAAAAGUUCUUUGGAAUAGGACAUCAUAGAGGGUGAGAAUCCCGUAUUUGACCUUUACUUUCAACUUUGUGAUACACUUUCAAAGAGUCGGAUUGUUUGGGAAUGCAGUCCAAAAUGGGUGGUAAAUUUCAUCUAAAGCUAAAUAUUGGCGAGAGACCGAUAGCGAACAAGUACCGUGAGGGAAAGAUGAAAAGAACUUUGAAAAGAGAGUUAAACAGUACGUGAAAUUGUCAAAAGGGAAGCGUUUGACACCAGUGUUGUUUUUCUGAAAAUCAAUUAAAGAACUGUUUAUGCUAAGUUGUUUAGACUUUAUCAGCUAUCUGUUUAGUUUUGAGCUUUUCUUUAAUGCACUUUUCAGUUAACAAGUCAACAUCAAUUUCUUUUGCUGUAAAAAAGCUUGAGGAAGGUGGCUUGAGAUUCGUCUUAAGUGUUUAUAGCCUCUUGCCUAUGCAGUCGGAGAGAUUGAGGUCUGCAGCGUAGAUCCUUCGGGGCUAAAUGCAUUUGUGCUAAGUUAUAGCAUUUUAUAGACAACUUGUUGACUAUGAUUUGUCUUGUAGCUUACUCGCUUAUGUUAUUUUACCUACGCUUAGGAUGUUGACGCAUGAGAUAUACGC
rnacentral:rRNA from 1 species